rnacentral:rRNA from 1 species
AUUGAACGCUGGCGGCAGGCCUAACACAUGCAAGUCGAGCGGAUGAAGGGAGCUCGCUCCUGGAUUCAGCGGCGGACGGGUGAGUAAUGCCUAGGAAUCUGCCUGGUAGUGGGGGAUAACGUCCGGAAACGGGCGCUAAUACCGCAUACGUCCUGAGGGAGAAAGUUGGGGAUCUUCGGACCUCACGCUAUCAGAUGAGCCUAGGUCGGAUUAGCUAGUUGGUGGGGUAAAGGCCUACCAAGGCGACGAUCCGUAACUGGUCUGAGAGGAUGAUCAGUCACACUGGAAGUGAGACACGGUCCAGACUCCUAAGGGAGGCAGCAGUGGGGAAUAUUGGACAAUGGGCGAAAGCCUGAUCCAGCCAUGCCGCGUGUGUGAAGAAGGUCUUCGGAUUGUAAAGCACUUUAAGUUGGGAGGAAGGGCAGUAAGUUAAUACCUUGCUGUUUUGACGUUACCAACAGAAUAAGCACCGGCUAACUUCGUG